CCUGGUUUAAGUCCUGGUUUAAGUCCUGGUUUAAGUCCUGGUUUAGUCCUGGUUUAGUCCUGGUUUAAGUCCUGGUUUUAGUCCUGGUUUUAGUCCUGGUUUUAGUCCUGGUUUUAGUCCUGGUUUAGUCCUGGUUUAGUCCUGGUUUAGUCCUGGUUUAAGUCCUGGUUUAAGUCCUGGUUUAGUCCUGGUUUAGCCCUGGUUUAGUCCUGGUUUAGUCCUGGUUUAAGUCCUGGUUUAAGUCCUGGUUUAAGUCCUGGUUUAAGUCCUGGUUUUAGUCCUGGUUUUAGUCCUGGUUUUAGUCCUGGUUUAGUCCUGGUUUAGUCCUGGUUUAGUCCUGGUUUAAUCCUGGUUUAGUCCUGGUUUAGUCCUGGUUUAAGUCCUGGUUUUAGUCCUGGUUUUAGUCCUGGUUUUAGUCCUGGUUUAGUCCUGGUUUAGUCCUGGUUUAGUCCUGGUUUAAUCCUGGUUUUAGUCCUGGUUUUAGUCCUGGUUUAGUCCUGGUUUAGUCCUGGUUUAGUCCUGGUUUAAUCCUGGUUUUAGUCCUGGUUUUAGUCCUGGUUUAGUCCUGGUUUAGUCCUGGUUUAGUCCUGGUUUAGUCCUGGUUUAAGUCCUGGUUUAGUCCAUGUUUA